rnacentral:rRNA from 1 species
AGUGAACGCUGGCGGUAGGCCUAACACAUGCAAGUCGAACGGCAGCACAGUAGGAGCUUGCUCUUACGGGUGGCGAGUGGCGGACGGGUGAGGAGUACAUCGGAAUCUACUUUUUCGUGGGGGAUAACGUAGGGAAACUUACGCUAAUACCGCAUACGACCUACGGGUGAAAGCAGGGGAUCUUCGGACCUUGCGCGAUUGAAUGAGCCGAUGUCGGAUUAGCUAGUUGGCGGGGUAAAGGCCCACCAAGGCGACGAUCCGUAGCUGGUCUGAGAGGAUGAUCAGCCACACUGGAACUGAGACACGGUCCAGACUCCUACGGGAGGCAGCAGUGGGGAAUAUUGGACAAUGGGCGCAAGCCUGAUCCAGCCAUACCGCGCGGGUGAAGAAGGCCUUCGGGUUGUAAAGCCCUUUUGUUGGGAAAGAAAAGCAGCAGGUUAAUACCCCGCUGUUCUGACGGUACCCAAAGAAUAAGCACCGGCUAACUUCGUG